ACUGCGAGUGAAGCGGGAAAAGCUCAAAUUUAAAAUCUGGCGGUCUCCGGCCGUCCGAGUUGUAAUUUAGAGAAGCGUUAUCCGUGCUGGACCGUGUAUAAGUCUCCUGGAAUGGAGCGUCAUAGAGGGUGAGAAUCCCGUCUUUGACACGGACUACCAGUGCAUUGUGAUGCGCUCUCGACGAGUCGAGUUGUUUGGGAAUGCAGCUCAAAAUGGGUGGUAAAUGCCAUCUAAAGCUAAAUAUUGGCGAGAGACCGAUAGCGAACAAGUACCGUGAGGGAAAGAUGAAAAGAACUUUGGAAAGAGAGUUAAACAGUACGUGAAAUUGUCGAAAGGGAAACGGUUGCAGUCAGUCGCGUCCGCCGGGGAUCAACCUUGCUUUUGCUUGGCGUAUUUCCCGGUGGAUGGGUCAGCAUCAGUUUUGACCGCAGUUGAAAGGCUGGAGGAAUGUGGCACCUUCGGGUGUGUUAUAGCCUCCUGUCAUAUGCUGCGGUUGGGACUGAGGAACUCAGCACGCCGCAAGGCCGGGAUUCGUCCACGUUCGUGCUUAGGAUGCUGGCAUAAUGUCUGUAACCGACCCGUCUUGAAACACGGACCAAGGAGUCUAACAUGCACGCGAGUGUUUGGGUGGCAAACCCGAGCGCGUAAUGAAAGUGAAAGUUGAGACCUCUGUCGUGGAGGGCAUCGACGCCCGGACCAG
rnacentral:rRNA from 1 species